rnacentral:rRNA from 1 species
UUGAUCCUGGCUCAGGACGAACGCUGGCGGCGUGCCUAACACAUGCAAGUCGAGCGGGAUCCAUCCAGUAGCGAUACUGGUGAAUAUCUGGCGGCAAACGGGUGAGUAACACGUGAGAAACCUGCCCCGGACUCUGGGAUAACACGAGGAAACUCGUGCUAAUACCGGAUACCUUCUUUUGGUCGCAUGGCCCAAUGAAGAAAGAUUUAUCGGUUUGGGAGGGUCUCGCGGCCUAUCAGCUAGUUGGCGGGGUAACGGCCCACCAAGGCAUCGACGGGUAGCUGGUCUGAGAGGACGAUUAUCCACACUGGGACUGACACACGGCCCACACUCCUACGGGAGGCAGCACUGGGGAAUCUUGCGCAAUGGGCGAAAGCCUGACGCAACAACGCCGCGUGCGGGAUGAAGGCCUUCGGGUUGUAAACCGCUUUCAACCUGGAAGAAAUUGACGGUACCUGCAGAAGAAGCCCCGGCCAACUACGUGCCAGCAGCCGCG